GACGAACGCUGGCGGCGUGCUUAACACAUGCAAGUCGAACGGAAAGGCCCUGCUUUUGUGGGGUGCUCGAGUGGCGAACGGGUGAGUAACACGUGAGUAACCUGCCCUUGACUUUGGGAUAACUUCAGGAAACUGGGGCUAAUACCGGAUAGGAGCUCCUGCUGCAUGGUGGGGGUUGGAAAGUUUCGGCGGUUGGGGAUGGACUCGCGGCUUAUCAGCUUGUUGGUGGGGUAGUGGCUUACCAAGGCUUUGACGGGUAGCCGGCCUGAGAGGGUGACCGGCCACAUUGGGACUGAGAUACGGCCCAGACUCCUACGGGAGGCAGCAGUGGGGAAUAUUGCACAAUGGGCGGAAGCCUAAUGCAGCAACGCCGCGUGCGGGAUGACGGCCUUCGGGUUGUAAACCGCUUUCGCCUGGGACGAAGCGUGAGUGACGGUAAUGGGUAAAGAAGCACCGGCUAACUACGUG
rnacentral:rRNA from 1 species